rnacentral:rRNA from 1 species
UUAAAUGAAUUGACGGGGGCCCGCACAAGCGGUGAGCAUGUGGUUUAAUUCGAAGCAACGCGCAGAACCUUACCAACCCUUGACAUGGAUAUCGCGGGACCAGAGAUGGUUCUUUCAGUUCGGCUGGAUAUCACACAGGUGCCGCAUGGCUGUCGUCAGCUCGUGUCGUGAGAUGUUCGGUUAAGUCCGGCAACGAGCGCAACCCACAUCCCCAGUUGCCAGCAGGUCAAGCUGGGCACUCUGUGGAAACUGCCCGUGAUAAGCGGGAGGAAGGUGUGGAUGACGUCAAGUCCUCAUGGCCCUUACGGGUUGGGCUACACACGUGCUACAAUGGUGGUGACAAUGGGUUAAUCCCCAAAAGCCAUCUCAGUUCGGAUUGGGGUCUGCAACUCGACCCCAUGAAGUCGGAAUCGCUAGUAAUCGCGUAACAGCAUGACGCGGUGAAUACGUUCCCGGGCCUU